GUUUCUGGUAUUUGUGAUGCAGGUCUUUGGAGACGGACCAUCAUGUGUUAUAUAGUAUAUCUUUAAGAGGUUAGCUUGAGACCUUGUUUGUCAAAAGCAUGUUUUAUGACCUUAAAGAGUAGUGAUCUCAAGGUUACCUUGAAAGGGUUGCUUGCACUAAUACUUUCCAGAGGUUGCUGGUGGAAUUACGGUUUCCAAUAGAGUGCAUGCUACAGGCUGCGCGACAACCUUGUCAUGAAGGGCCAACGUCUGCGGUCGUUGCGCCGCCAGCCUCGAAAGCAGCCGUAUCACCGUGGCUUGCGUAUGAAGCUUUGAUAUGAGCUUUUUAAUAAGAGCUUUCUUGCUGCUUGCUGUGUUAGAAGGCGGCUAUGCUCACGCAUGGAGUGUGUCAUGUUCACCUCUCACGAGUUUGAUGUACGCGUUGUUGCGCGUGCGGGGAGCUUCACAGCCUACAGUGACGGAGCCAACU